UAGCGGAGGAAAAGAAACCAACAGGGAUUGCCCCAGUAACGGCGAGUGAAGCGGCAAAAGCUCAAAUUUGAAAUCCUGCGGGAAUUGUAAUUUGAAGGUUUCGUGGUCUGAGUCGGCCGCGCCCAAGUCCAUUGGAACAUGGCGCCUGGGAGGGUGAGAGCCCCGUAUGGCGCACGCCGACUCUUUGCACCGCGGCUCCGACGAGUCGAGUUGUUUGGGAAUGCAGCUCUAAGUGGGUGGUAAAUUCCAUCUAAAGCUAAAUAUUGGCGAGAGACCGAUAGCGAACAAGUACAGUGAUGGAAAGAUGAAAAGCACUUUGAAAAGAGAGUGAAACAGCACGUGAAAUUGUUGAAAGGGAAGGGCUUGCAAGCAGACACGGUUUUACCGGGCCAGCGUCGAAAAGGGGGGAGGAACAAGAACUCGAGAAUGUGGCGCGCACCUUCGGGCGCGCGUGUUAUAGCUCGUGUUGACGCCUCCAUCCCUUUUCGAGGCCUGCGAUUCUAGGACGCUGGCGUAAUGGUUGCAAGCCGCCCGUCUUGAA
rnacentral:rRNA from 1 species